AAAUGUUCGAUGUAAUGUACAAGUAAGUGCAUUUGAAAGAAGUUGGCUUGUGCUCAUCAUGGAGGAUAAUUAUUCAAUAGCCUGGUAGACGAUGGAAGUUGUUAUCCUGCUUCGUGGUUGUAGUUUAAUUGUGCUCCUUGGGUGGCUUAGUUAUUGAGUUUUGUAUUUUAGUCAGAAAUUAUUGCUGUUAUUUGGUAAAUGAAUGUUUUCUCCCUCAAUUUGUUAUUACAUUCUAGGAUGUUCG
rnacentral:misc_RNA from 1 species